UACGUAGGGUGCAAGCGUUGUCCGGAAUUAUUGGGCGUAAAGAGCUCGUAGGCGGUUUGUUGCGUCGGCUGUGAAAUCCCGAGGCUCAACCUCGGGUCUGCAGUCGAUACGAGCAAACUAGAGUGUUGCAGGGGAGGACUGGAAUUCCUGGUGUAGCGGUGAAAUGCGCAGAUAUCAGGAGGAACACCGGUGGCGAAGGCGGGUCUCUGGGCAACAACUGACGCUGGAGGAGCGAAAGCGUGGGGAGCGAACAGG
rnacentral:rRNA from 1 species